UCAGUUCAUUUCAGUCAUUAUUCUGCUGUCAACUUUAGCCUCUUUCUGCCAGCUUUUAGCAGAGGUGUUUAGCAUUUCUGUCAGAUCCUGGUCAUCUUUUGCCUGCUACUAACCUUUUUCCACCAGUAGGAGCCGUAGGAGCUGAAGGAUCAGGGUGGUCAGGUGUUUUGCAUGUUGUCAUCAGCUGGAGGACUAUAAGAGGGAGGCGAGCCAGUACUUCGAUGCCUGAGUGUUUUGCCUCUUCGUGGUUAUCCAAGUCUUGCUCCAAACUAAGAGACCUCUCAGGAGAACCGUCUAACAGUGCGUGGACUCUGGAUCUCUUGUUUCCCUGCUGGCUGCCGGAUCGGACGAUUCCUCACAGCUUCAGGCGAACCGUGUCCACCCUCCUCCGUUCCUCCCAAGACUGCCCAGCUCCUGCGGCUCAGCGUAGCCCGCUGCCUCCUCCAGGAUCACAAUCCCUCUCCCUGGUGGACCAACCCCAACCUGACCGUAAGCUCCCUUGCAGAGUACAGUUUAAGGGUUUCAGUUGUGGUGUCUUACCUGCGUCCGUUUCCUUGCAGCCGCUCAGCAGAUUCUGUUUCCAGUACCUGGUCCUGAAAAUAAAGCUCCUGAAACGCUUCUCUGUUUCUCGUGUUUUUCUGCAUGUGGGUCAAGUCGGCCAUCUCCAAUAUGACAAUUUCUGUUUUUUGCUAAUUCAUUACAUUUCAGAAGAUUUUCUGCAGUCAACUUCAGCAGUCAACUUGUUUCUGCUAUAGAAUUCAGCUAUAGAAUUCAGCUUAUAGCAUUGACACUGAAUUUUCUAGUUGAAUUAGAUGUUCUUGUGUGUUUCCCAUUUUGAAAGGUGGCAAAUAGGAAUUGACCUUUGUGGUGCAUCAUUUUAAAUCUUACCUGAAAAUUAUGGAUAACAUUUUAAUAAUCUUAAAACACAAAACAAUUUGAAACAGAUAAAUAUAAAUUAAUAAAUGGAUACAGUCUGACAAUGAUCAAGCUAUUAAGAAAUUAUUAGUACGAGACUAAUUAUUUUGUCAUGACUACAAGGGGUGCGAAUAAUUGUGAAGAGCAGUGUGCUUAGGUAAAUUAGCUCUGGCUUAGGUGCAAUCAGCAAAGUCUUUCUCAAAUAACACUUUACAGAAGCCUUUUCUUAAAGCAGAUUUAUUUUACAGAAUCACAAAGAUGCACUUAGGGAAUUUGUGUAAACAUGAAUUUCUCGCUCAGAAUCUCAAGGAUGUUUAAAUUUAUGAAUAAGAAAUUAAUGAUCUAUAAGUUAUAAAAACAUGUAAUUAAAUUGAAUUUUAAUAAAGCAUAUCUGCAGAUGACAAGUUAACUAAGAUAGUAAAUACAGACAAUAUUUCAUAAAUAAAAAUAUUUUAAAUGUAUAUUUGAAUAGUGUUAAACAAUUAACUACAACACAAUCAAUAAAUAAUGUUACUAAAAAGAAUAAAAAAGAAGCUAAAAACACGUCUUUCUCUUUUGUGAUCAAUCUACUGUAUGUUUUUUUUGAAUGGAUUACAUGCAUACCCAAUUUGCAGAUAAAAGGAGACAUUUGAGAAUAUUUUUAAUGUACUGGUAAUAUAUUGCUUCUGAUUAUUUGAAAUUUUUUACAGAAUGACAACAAAGAGUAAAAGCAAGAGAUGAAGCAUGCCCAGUCUGACACUAGUAGCGCUACUAGUGGUUGUUGAAGUGGUGGCUGACUGUGCUGCUGAGGUUAUGUUUGCAGUUGCAGUUGCCGUUGUUGAUGUUGAUUUGCUUGGGGCUGAUGUUGUCGGAAGUGUUGUUGAAACUGUGGCUGACUGUGCUGCUGAGGUCAUAGUGGGUGCGGUUACAGUUGUUAAUUUGCUUGGAGCUGCAUGUUCUGUAGCUGUGGGAGUCGAAACAAUUAUUGUUGUUUGGGUUCUUAUUGUGGCUGGUGGAGAAGACAAUGAAAUGGUUGGUGCUACAAUUGGGGCAGAUGGAGUAGUGGUGGUAAGUACUGAGGUCUUUAUUUUUAAAACCAGACGCCUUCUAUCCUGUUAGUUUCCUGAUCUGUUGGUGAUCAGCUUUUAUAGCAGCAACCACUGCUUCCCACACACUAUUCAACUGGAUAUACAAAUACCGUCACGUUGAGGACUAUGGGGAUGAAACACCUUGGCUGAGGUGAAACACAACGUACAGGAGGUGGAGGCAAUGGGGGGAACUUGGAAUUACAACUACCUCAGCUUUGCAUCAUUACACUCCAUUGCUGUAUUUUCAAAGUUGAGUAUUUUGACCCAUUGCAUUUCAGAAAAUAAAGAGUAUGUCAUAAAUAACUGUACACCUUUUAUGUAAAGAUCACAUGGUUUGCUAUAGUUAGCCCAACUCUUAUCCUAAGUCUUUUUCAAAAGUUCAACAAUGCAACUCCUGACAGUUUUUGUGUGCACAACUCUGAUGAAAACAGUCAGGAGUUUGUGCUGCUGAUAUCAUUCCUCGAUCAAAGACUGGCACCCUAUCUCCAGCCUCGGUUUCCAGUAUGUGAGUCUUCCUUCAUUGUAUCAAUAAACUUUGUUAUUUCAAGAAUUAUGUGCCUUCUUUGUGAUCUUUUUCAGCAUAAAGGUAUCUAAAAAUGUUUUAGUGACUGAUAAUUGUUUUCAAAUUGGUAAAGGAGGUGUCCACAUAUCAUCAACCAACUGUAUCCUGGUGGCUAUUACUGACCUGUGGACGAAAACCAAUGUAUUGGUGCAAGUUUUCCCUUUCUGUGACCAAUGUAAUAAUGACCAAUUACUCUUCAAUCUGGAGUGGCACCAAGGAGUGGAGGAUCUGGGUGGAUUACGACAACACCAGGAGAUGCUUCUACAUUAAUCAACUCCUAAUCAAAAUAAGCAAUUGUAAUGAUUUUGUGUUGACCUGCUUCUUGAAACUGGACAGUUGAUGUGAUAUAGAACUAAAUGAUGGAAAUCUGUUUUUAUAAACCAGGAAGAGGGAAGGAAUGAUGAAGGAUGUCAAUAACUUAUCAUUUUCCUGAGCAGCAAACUAGUAAAAUAGAAUGAAGCUCUUCAGGAUGUCAGGUUUCUGUCACCAUGGCUACGCCAAAUGACCCUUCAUUAGUCAUUGCUGAGAUGUUGGGCGUCAAUAAAGGAUUCUGUCCUGAU